CCCGGCCAGAAAUGUUUUUUUUUAAGAAGGCUGUCUACUAGUGGAGUUCCUGGCCUGAGAGGAUAUUACUUUCCAAGGAAAGGAUUUCUUUCAUUAUUUAAGGAGCCACUUAAGCUAAAGAUUCCCUUGAGAACAAGUACUGUCCUGUGGUUUCAUGGCCUUUCUUCCAUUUGUGGUUCUUGCCAAGUGGUAUUUCAAUGACCUCUUAUCAAGAUGGAUAAACCCAAGUUUCCCAGUGCUGGAAUAGAGAAAAUGGAUGGACAACUGGAUCUACCAUGAAAGACUUCUGAAUCCAGGAAGAGAGACUGACUGGGCAACAUGUUAUUCAGAGAUGGGACCUCAAGUGUGUUGCCAGAGCUGACCUUGAACUCCUGCACUCAAGGGAUUUUCCUGCCUUGGCCUCCCAAAGUAUUGGUAUUACAGGCAUGAGCCACUGUGCCCACUAUCUCUGGUUCUUAACCUUCUGCCUCCCUCUUCCACUUUUAAAGAAUGCUUGUAAUUACAUGGACUCUUCUAGAUAUUCCAGGAUAAUCUUGUUUUAAGGUCAGCUGAUUUUCAACAUUAAUUUUAUCUGCACUCUUAAUUCCCCCUUCCUAUGUAAUUGUGCUGUGUAACAUAGGACAUGAACAAUUGGUGGGGGUGGGGGUUAUUACUUUGGCUACCACAGUAACUGUUUUGUGCUAGGUACUGAGCUAAGCACUGGUGAAUUAAGCAUGAAUAACACACUCUCCCUAAUCUCCAUCCAUUCAUGGGAGGAGCACCUCACCUGCCAUGCUCCUGAGAAUCUGGGGAGUCAAGGAAGUCUUCCGUGAGGAGGUGAUGCCAAAGCGGACAAGUGACAGAGGAGCUGAAGCUAGCCAGGAAGAGAGUAGAGGUUUAAGGGGAAGCGUAUUAUAAGCAGAGGGCAUCACCCACUUCAGAGAGUCCCAGAGGAGAAAGAUGAGGCUCAGCUGGACUCCAUAGUAGGUGAAAUGGAGAGGGGCAAGCAGUGAGGCUGCCUUGCAAGGCAGGGCAGAGCAGGGGCUGUUAAGGAGUCUGGACUUAAUCCCGGAGGCAAGGAGAAGUGAUGUAAAUGGGGGAGUAACGUGAUGAGAUUCACGGAUUAGAGACAUGGUUCAGGCUGCUGUAGCGAAGGCACCAGGAGGAGCAGAUGGCUCAGUGGGUGUGCAGGAGACCUCUCACUGAGUUUAGGAAGAGGUUUUUAAAAUAGAAGAAGUUUGAGUAAUUUAAAUGAUGGUGGGAAGGAGCUAAAAGUGGGGGAUAGGUUAAAGAUACAGGAAAGUGGGAGGAAGAACUGACAAGUGAGGUUCCUGAGAGGGCAGGAGAAGAGGAGAUUCCCAUAGGGGGAUUAAUACUUUCUUUUCUUUUUCUAAGACAGGGUCUUACUCUGUCACCUAGGCUGGAGUUCAGUGGCAUGAUCUUGGCUCACUGUAGUGUAGACUUCCCAGGCUCAAGGGAUCCUCCCAUCCCAGACUCCCAAGUAGCUGGAACUACAGGUGUACACCACC